rnacentral:rRNA from 1 species
AAUAUUGGACAAUGGGCGCAAGCCUGAUCCAGCCAUGCCGCGUGUGUGAAGAAGGCCUUAGGGUUGUAAAGCACUUUCAGUGGGGAGAAAGGUCAUUCACCUAAUACGUGAGUGAAUUGAUGUUACCCACAGAAGAAGCACCGGCUAACUCCGUGCAAGCAGCCGCGGUAAUACGGAGGGUGCAAGCGUUAAUCGGAAUUACUGGGCGUAAAGCGCACGUAGGUGGUUUGUUAAGCUAGCUGUGAAAUCCCCGGGCUCAACCUGGGCACUGCAGUUAGAACUGGCAAGCUAGAGUAGGGUAGAGGGGUGUGGAAUUCCAGGUGUAGCGGUGAAAUGCGUAGAUAUCUGGAGGAACAUCAGUGGCGAAGGCGACACCCUGGACUCAUACUGACACUGAGGUGUGAAAGCGUGGGGAGCAAACAG